rnacentral:rRNA from 1 species
AACGUAUGUUCGUCUGUCUCGUCCCCGUCGCAGCGGGGAGAAUUAAGUUGUUGCAGUUAAAAAGCUCGUAGUUGGAUUUCGGGUGGGUUUCAGCGGUCCGCCUAUGGUGAGUACUGCUGUGGCCUUCCUUACUGUCGGGGACCUGCUUCUGGGCUUCAUUGUCCGGGACAGGGAUUCGGCAUGGUUACUUUGAGUAAAUUGGAGUGUUCAAAGCAGGCUUACGCCGUGAACAUUUUAGCAUGGAAUAACAUGAUAGGACUCUGCCCUAUUCUGUUGGCCUGUAGGAGUGGAGUAAUGAUUAAGAGGAACAGUCGGGGGCAUUCGUAUUUCAUUGUCAGAGGUGAAAUUCUUGGAUUUAUGAAAGACGAACUACUGCGAAAGCAUUUGCCAAGGAUGUUUUCAUUAAUCAAGAACGAAAGUUGGGGGCUCGAAGACCAUCACAUCCCGGCGCGGGGGGGGGGG